AUUGAACGCUGGCGGCAGGCCUAACACAUGCAAGUCGAACGAGUGGCGGACGGGUGAGUAAUGUCUGGAAAACUGCCUGAUGGAGGGGGAUAACUACUGGAAACGGUCGCUAAUACCGCAUACCAUCAGAUGUUCCCAGAUGGGAUUAGCUAGUGGGUGGGGUAACGGCUCACCAAGGCGAAGAUCCAUAGCUGGUCUGAGAGGAUGACCAGCCAAACUGGAACUGAUACACGGUCCAGACUCCUACGGGAGGCAGCAGUGGGGAAUAGUGCACAAUGGGCGCAAGCCUGAUGCAGCCAUGCCGCGUGUAUGAAGAAGGCCUUCGGGUUGUAAAGUACUUUCAGCGGGGAGGCGUUACCCGCAGAAGAAGCACCGGCUAACUCCGUGCCAGCAGCCGCGGUAAUUC
rnacentral:rRNA from 1 species